rnacentral:rRNA from 1 species
AUUGAACGCUGGCGGCAGGCCUAACACAUGCAAGUCGAACGGUAACAGGAAGAAGCUUGCUUCUUUGCUGACGAGUGGCGGACGGGUGAGUAAUGUCUGGGAAACUGCCUGAUGGAGGGGGAUAACUACUGGAAACGGUAGCUAAUACCGCAUAACGUCGCAAGACCAAAAAGGGGGACCUUCGGGCCUCUUGCCAUCGGAUGUGCCCAGAUGGGAUUAGCUAGUAGGUGGGGUAACGGCUCACCUAGGCGACGCUCCCUAGCUGGUCUGAGAGGAUGACCAGCCACACUGGAACUGAGACACGGUCCAGACUCCUACGGGAGGCAGCAGUGGGGAAUAUUGCACAAUGGGCGCAAGCCUGAUGCAGCCAUGCCGCGUGUAUGAAGAAGGCCUUCGGGUUGUAAAGUACUUUCAGCGGGGAGGAAGGGAGUAAAGUUAAUACCUUUGCUCAUUGACGUUACCCGCAGAAGAAGCACCGGCUAACUCCGUG